rnacentral:lncRNA from 10 species
AAUGCCUAUCAGUGGGAUAUGUUCUGAAUUUGAAAAACCAUGCAGUUCAGAAUUGGUUUAAAGUAUGUUUUAAAAAAAGCCAGAAAAGUCAAAAGUAUUUUUCGCUGAUUAUUUUAGGAAAUAGUUGUCAGUAAAAUCACUAAAAUCUCUUUCAAUAACCAUUCAGUAAAAGAUAAAAUUAAACCAUUGUCCAUAUAAUCACAGCCUUAUUGACCAAUUAAUGAUUCCAAUCUGACAGCAACUGAGACAAAAUUUUACCUUUAUUUAAUCACUCCUUGCCUGAAACAUAUUUCCAUAUUUAUCCAUCUGAAUUUUAAGUUCCAUAACAAGUAUUGUUUUCCCUUUUCCUAUGGAUACCCGAACAUAGCGCCUUGCCAUGAAAUUGUAUUUUCUAAAGCAUUUUUGUUUGAUUUUAUUGUUUUAGUAGAAUAAUUUAUAUUUUCCAUGCCUCUUUAUUUUAAAUUCUAACCAAGGCUAUUAAAACACAAAUUGAAAAUGUUACCUAUUUUUAUAAUCUUAAAUCCUAAAUUACCAAUUUUUAAAUUAUGAUUUCUUUCUCCUACAUAAAUGAAUUAAUAGAAGACCUAACACCUUAAAAAAAAAAAAAAAAAACAUAAGGGCCAAUUAGCCGACCACAGUUACAGUUACAAUCUGCCCCAGUGCUUUAUUUCUCAAAUCCUUUGAACUUUUUGAUCGUCCUCAUCUUAAUUAGUUUGGGUUACUUUAACAACUUUCCACAAACUGGGUGGCUUAAACAACAAACAUUUAUUUCUUGCAGUUUUGGAAGCUGGGAAAUUCUUGAUCAAGGUGCACACAGAUCCAAUGUCUGAUGAGGGCCCAUUCGCCGACUUACAGAGGGAUAUCUUCUCAUUGUAUCCUCCUGUGAAAAUUGAUUUCAACUUCUCUAAAAACCAGGUUACAGCUGCUGUUGCUGAUUUUGCAGCGGCUGAUUUGGAAUUCUACUGCUGUGAGAACUGCAGGUGGUAGCUUUUAUUAUAUAACCUUUAAUUCAAGAAAAAAGGAUCACAUAAAAUUUAUGUUUAUAUUAUAUGUAAGAAUUGUAAUUAAAACUAUAUAUAUUAAUAAAAUUAUAAAAUAUAUACAUGUAAUGUGUA